rnacentral:misc_RNA from 1 species
GAUGAAGAACGCAGCGAAAUGCGAUAAUUAAUGUGAAUUGCAGAAUUCCGUGAAUCUUCGAGUUUUUGAACGCAUAUUGCGCCCCUUGGUAUUCCGAGGGGCAUGCCUGUCCGAGCGUCAUUGCAACCCUUCAAGCACGGCUUGUGUGUUGGACGGCCGCCCCAGUGUGGGCGGGUCCCAAAUGCAGUGGCGGCGCCGCGAUCCGGGUGCUCGAGUGCAUGGAAACCACGCGCUCGUUAGGCCCCGUCGGGCGCCGGCCGACCUAAUUAUCUUCGUUCUGGUUGACCUCGGAUCAGGUAGGAAUACCCGCUGAACUUAAGCAUAUCAAUAAGCGGAGGA